GGAAGAAGAGAGUGGUGUUGAUGAAGCUACAUUUUCAAGGUCUUAUCUUUUGAAGCAUGGAAUGUUUUUGAUACACGAAAGAAAGAGGAUCUGCUAAUGAAUUCGAGAAUUCUUGCUGAGUAAUGAGAUGAACAUGAGAGAGAGAGAGAGCGAUGAAUGCAUUUAGGCCCAAAAUUCAAUGGUUUGAUCUCACCCAAUUUGCUACAAAGAGAGAGAAGAAUGCAUGUAAUAAUUCUCCCAAACUAUAAUAAGAUACCUUAGCAGCUUGGA
rnacentral:misc_RNA from 1 species